rnacentral:lncRNA from 1 species
UGGAAACCUGAUCUGUGCUUAUGCUGUUAUUCAGAGCUAUGCUUAAACACGGUUUUCUAUAACGAGAAGCAACCGCUCUACUCGUGAGGAAGGCAAAGAUGAUGUCUGUCCAGUAGUUCCUCUGUUCUCAGUUGCUUUUUACUUGAAGCCUGGCUUCUGGCCUGAACCAGAGAAGGAUCCAACAUUCACGCUGCAUGAGCUGCAGUGGGGCCAGCGUCUUCCAGGAGCCAGGCCUGGCAGACAGUGCCUGUCCCACUGGCCCACAGGAGCAGGCAGCUGGGGGCAUGAGGGCAGCCCCAGACACAGGUGUUGGGAAUGUCCCUGGUGAUGGGCUACGUCUGGAC